AGCUCCAAUAGCGUAUAUUAAAGUUGUUGCGGUUAAAAAGCUCGUAGUUGGAUUUCUGUCGAGGACGAUCGGUCCGCCCUCUGGGUGUGCAUCUGGCUCGGCCUUGGCAUCUUCUUGGAGAACGUUUCUGCACUUGACUGUGUGGUGCGGUAUCCAGGACCUUUACUUUGAGGAAAUUAGAGUGUUUCAAACAGGCGCACGCCUUGAAUACACUAGCAUGGAAUAAUAAGAUAGGACCUCGGUUCUAUUUUGUUGGUUUCUACAGCUGAGGUAAUGAUUAAUAGGGAUAGUUGGGGGCAUUCGUAUUUAACUGUCAGAGGUGAAAUUCUUGGAUUUGUUAAAGACGGACCACUGCGAAAGCAUUUGCCAAGAAUGUUUUCA
rnacentral:rRNA from 1 species